UACGUAGGGUGCAAGCGUUAAUCGGAAUUACUGGGCGUAAAGCGUGCGCAGGCGGUUUGUUAAGGCAGAUGUGAAAUCCCCGGGCUUAACCUGGGAACUGCAUUUGUGACUGGCAAGCUAGAGUAUGGCAGAGGGGGGUAGAAUUCCACGUGUAGCAGUGAAAUGCGUAGAGAUGUGGAGGAAUACCGAUGGCGAAGGCAGCCCCCUGGGCCAAUACUGACGCUCAUGCACGAAAGCGUGGGGAGCAAACAUG
rnacentral:rRNA from 1 species